AUACAUGCAAGUCGAACGAACUCUGGUAUUGAUUGGUGCUUGCAUCAUGAUUUACAUUUGAGUGAGUGGCGAACUGGUGAGUAACACGUGGGAAACCUGCCCAGAACGGGGGAUAACACCUGGAAACAGAUCUAAUACCGCAAACAACUUGGACCGCAUGGUCCGAGUUUGAAAGAUGGCUUCGGCUAUCACUUUUGGAUGGUCCCCGGCGUAUUAGCUAGAGGUGGGGUAACGGCUCACCAUGGCAAUGAUACGUAGCCGACCUGAGAGGGUAAUCGGCCACAUUGGGACUGAGACACGGCCCAAACUCCUACGGGAGGCAGCAGUAGGGAAUCUUCCACAAUGGACGAAAGCUGAUGGAGCAACGCGCGUGAGUGAAGAAGGGUUUCGGCUCGUAAAACUCGUUGUUAAAGAAGAACAUAUCUGAGAGUAACUGUUCAGGUAUUGACGGUAUUUAACCAGAAAGCCACGGCUAACUACGUGCCAGCAGCCGCGGUAAUACGUAGGUGGCAAGCGUUGUCCGGAUUUAUUGGGCGUAAAGCGAGCGCAGCGGUUUUUUAAGUCUGAUGUGAAAGCCUUCGGCUCAACCGAAGAAGUGCAUCGGAAACUGGGAAACUUGAGUGCAGAGAGGACAGUGGAACUCCAUGUGUAGCGGUGAAAUGCGUAGAUAUAUGGAAGAACACCAGUGGCGAAGGCGGCUGUCUGGUCUGUAACUGACGCUGAGGCUCGAAAGUAUGGGUAGCAAACAGGAUUAGAUACCCUGGUAGUCCAUACCGUAAACGAUGAAUGCUAAGUGUUGGAGGGUUUCCGCCCUUCAGUGCUGCAGCUAAGCAUUAAGCAUUCCGCCUGGGGAGUACGGCCGCAAGGCUGAAACUCAAAGGAAUUGACGGGGCCCGCACAAGCGGUGGAGCAUUGGUUUAAUUCGAAGCUACGCGAAGAACCUUACCAGGUCUUGACAUACUAUGCAAAUCUAAGAGAUUAGACGUUCCCUUCGGGGACAUGGAUACAGGUGGUGCAUGGUUGUCGUCAGCUCGUGUCGUGAGAUGUUGGGUUAAGUCCCGCAACGAGCGCAACCCUUAUUAUCAGUUGCCAGCAUUAAGUUGGGCACUCUGUGAGACUGCCGGUGACAAACCGGAGGAAGGUGGGGAUGACGUCAAAUCAUCAUGCCCCUAUGACCUGGGCUACACACGUGCUACAAUGGAUGGUACAACGAGUUGCGAACUCGCGAGAGUAAGCUAAUCUCUAAAGCCAUUUCAGUUCGGAUUGUAGGCUGCAACUCGCCUACAUGAAGUCGGAAUCGCUAGUAAUCGCGGAUCAGCAUGCCGCGGUGAAUACGUUCCCGGGCCUUGUACACACCGCCCGUCACACCAUGAGAGUUUGUAACACCCAAAGUCGGUGGGGUAACCUUUUAGGAACCAGCCGCCUAAGGUGGGACAGAUGAUUAGGUGAAGCGUA
rnacentral:rRNA from 2 species